rnacentral:rRNA from 1 species
AUUGAACGCUGGCGGAAUGCUUUACACAUGCAAGUCGAACGGCAGCAUAGAGAGCUUGCCCUCUGAUGGCGAGUGGCGAACGGGUGAGUAAUAUAUCGGAACGUACCUAGUAAUGGGGAAUAACUAGCUGAAAGGUUAGCUAAUGCCGCAUACGACCUACGGGUGAAAGCAGGGGAUCUUCGGACCUUGCGUUAUUAGAGCGGCCGAUAUCUGAUUAGCUUGUUGGUGGGGUAAUGGCCUACCAAGGCGACGAUCAGUAGCUGGUCUGAGAGGACGAUCAGCCACACUGGAACUGAGACACGGUCCAGACUCCUACGGGAGGCAGCAGUGGGGAAUUUUGGACAAUGGGGGCAACCCUGAUCCAGCCAUUCCGCGUGAGUGAAGAAGGCCUUCGGGUUGUAAAGCUCUUUCGCAAGAGAAGAAAACUUGCUAUCUAAUAAAUAGUAAGUAUGACGGUAUCUUGACAAGAAGCACCGGCUAACUACGUGCCAGCAGCCGCGGUAAUACGUAGGGUGCAAGCGUUAAUCGGAAUUACUGGGCGUAAAGCGUGCGCAGGCAGUUUUAUAAGUCAGAUGUGAAAUCCCCGAGCUCAACUUGGGAACUGCGUUUGAUACUGUAAGACUAGAGUGUGUCAGAGGGGGGUAGAAUUCCAAGUGUAGCAGUGAAAUGCGUAGAGAUUUGGAGGAAUACCAAUGGCGAAGGCAGCCCCCUGGGAUAACACUGACGCUCAUGCACGAAAGCGUG